rnacentral:rRNA from 1 species
UACGAGGGGGGCGAGCGUUGUUCGGAAUUAUUGGGCGUAAAGGGUGCGUAGGCGGUUUGGUAAGUCUUGUGUGAAAUCUACAGGCUCAACUUGUAGUCUGCACGAGAAACUGCCGGGCUUGAGUGUGGGAGAGGUGAGUGGAAUUCCGAGUGUAGAGGUGAAAUUCGUAGAUAUUCGGAAGAACACCAGUGGCGAAGGCGACUUACUGGACACAUAUUGACGCUGAGGUGCGAAAGCGUGGGGAGCAAACAGG